CUGCUGCCUGCCAGCCAGCUGCCAUUUUGUGGAGCAGGGUUGAUAGAGCGCGUUGUGGAAGAAUCAAGCCCUGCAUGCUCUCAGAGAAGGUGCUAUUUUUGGUUCUUCUCUUCCUUUUUUUCUCACCUACACUGAGGAACUCCAGCUAUUCAAACUGACUGCCUCUGCCUGCUUGAGAAAGCUGACUGAAAAUAAAACUCUGCAUUCAGUGCUGCCAUCUCUUUUUCACCUUUGAGGAUGAAAUUCAGGUGCAAAGGAAGGUUCAGAUCUAAACUUUGGAUGUCCUGCUUAUCUGUUACUGCAUUCUACCACACAUUGAAAAAGCAGUGCCACAAGUUUAGUUCCAGGAGCACUCCCUAA
rnacentral:lncRNA from 1 species